rnacentral:rRNA from 1 species
CCUACGGGAGGCAGCAGUGGGGAAUAUUGGACAAUGGGCGCAAGCCUGAUCCAGCCAUGCCGCGUGGGUGAAGAAGGCCUUCGGGUUGUAAAGCCCUUUUGUACGGGAAGAAAGCGCUCCGGUUAAUACCUGGAGUGGAUGACGGUACCGUAAGAAUAAGCACCGGCUAACUUCGUGCCAGCAGCCGCGGUAAUACGAAGGGUGCAAGCGUUACUCGGAAUUACUGGGCGUAAAGCGUGCGUAGGCGGUCUGUUGUGUCGGAUGUGAAAGCCCUGGGCUCAACCUGGGAAUGGCAUUCGAAACUGGCAGGCUGGAGUUCGGUAGAGGGUCGCGGAAUUCCCGGUGUAGCGGUGAAAUGCGUAGAGAUCGGGAGGAACAUCAGUGGCGAAGGCGGCGACCUGGACCAGAACUGACGCUGAGGCACGAAAGCGUGGGGAGCA